rnacentral:rRNA from 1 species
UCGUGGAGCGAUUUGUCUGGUUUAUUCCGAUAACGAGCGAGACUCUAGCCUACUAAAUAGUCUGCACAUUGCUAUUGUGUGUAGUACUUCUUAGAGGGAUUUUCGGUUUACAGCCGCACGAAAUUGAGCAAUAACA